rnacentral:rRNA from 1 species
UACAGAGGUCUCAAGCGUUGUUCGGAUUCAUUGGGCGUAAAGGGUGCGUAGGCGGCGCGGUAAGUCGGGUGUGAAAUCCCCGGGGCUCAACCCGGGAACUGCGUCCGAUACUGGCAGGCUUGAAUCCGGGAGAGGGAUGCGGAAUUCCAGGUGUAGCGGUGAAAUGCGUAGAUAUCUGGAGGAACACCGGUGGCGAAGGCGGCAUCCUGGACCGGCAUUGACGCGUGAGGCGCGAAAGCCAGGGGAGCAAAGCGGG